GCUUGAACUCUUUGCGUAAAGUUACAAAUAAUUUAAUAAAAAUCGCUUUUAAUUUACAAAUAGUAACAAUUAAGAAACAUCAU
rnacentral:sRNA from 1 species